rnacentral:rRNA from 1 species
AUUGAACGCUGGCGGCAGGCCUAACACAUGCAAGUCGAGCGAGCGGCGGACGGGUGAGUAAUGUAUGGGGACUGCCCGAUAGAGGGGGAUAACUCCCGGAAACGGUGGCUAAUACCGCAUACUAUCGGAUAACCCAUAUGGGAUUAGCUAGUAGGUAAGGUAAUGGCUUACCUAGGCGACGAUCCCUAGCUGGUCUGAGAGGAUGAUCAGCCAAACGGGGACGGAGACACGGCCCAGACUCCUACGGAGGCAGCAGUGGGGAAGAUUGCACAUUGGGCGAAAGCCUGAUGCAGCCAUGCCGCGUGUAUGAAGAAGGCCUGAGGGUUGUAAAGUACUUUCAGUGGGGAGGCGUUACCGACAGAAGAAGCAACGGCUAACUCCGUGCCAGCAGCCGCGGUAAUUC